rnacentral:rRNA from 1 species
CAAGUCGAACGAUUAAGACUUCCUUCGGGAAGUGUAUAAAGUGGCGCACGGGUGAGUAACACGUAAGUAAUCUACCUUCGAGUGGGGAAUAACGUUCGGAAACGAACGCUAAUACCGCAUAAUGCAGCGGUACCUAAUGGUGACAGUUGUUAAAGGAGCAAUUCGCUUGAAGAGGAGCUUGCGGCAGAUUAGCUAGUUGGUGGGGUAACGGCCUACCAAGGCUACGAUCUGUAACCGGUCUAAGAGGACGGUCGGUCACACUGACACUGAAUAACGGGUCAGACUCCUACGGGAGGCAGCAGUCGGGAAUUUUGGGCAAUGGGCGAAAGCCUGACCCAGCAACGCCGCGUGAAGGAUGAAGUAUUUCGGUAUGUAAACUUCGAAAGAAUGGGAAGAAUCAAUGACGGUACCAUUUAUAAGGUCCGGCUAACUACGUGCCAGCAGCCGCGGUAAUACGUAGGGACCAAGCGUUGUUCGGAUUUACUGGGCGUAAAGGGCGCGUAGGCGGCAAUUCAAGUCAUCUGUGAAAUCUCCGGGCUUAACCCGGAACGGUCAGAUGAUACUGCUUUGCUAGAGUGCGGAAGGGGCAAUCGGAAUUCUUGGUGUAGCGGUGAAUUGCGUAGAUAUCAAGAGGAACACCUGAGGUGAAGACGGGUUGCUGGGCCGACACUGACGCUGAUAGCGCGAAAGCCAGGGGAGCAAACGGGAUUAGAUACCCCGGUAGUCCUGGCCCUAAACGAUGAAUACUUGGUGUCUGGAGUUAUUAGUGCUCCGGGUGCCGUCGCUAACGUUUUUAGUAUUCCGCCUGGGGAGUACGCUCGCAAGAGUGAAACUCAAAGGAAUUGACGGGGACCCGCACAAGCGGUGGAGCAUGUGGUUUAUUC